rnacentral:rRNA from 1 species
AGUGAACGCUGGCGGCAGGCCUAACACAUGCAAGUCGAACGGCAGCACAGCAGUAGCAAUACUGUGGGUGGCGAGUGGCGGACGGGUGAGGAAUACAUCGGAAUCUGCCUAGUCGUGGGGGAUAACGUAGGGAAACUUACGCUAAUACCGCAUACGACCUACGGGUGAAAGCGGGGGAUCGCAAGACCUCGCGCGAUUAGAUGAGCCGAUGUCCGAUUAGCUAGUUGGCGGGGUAAUGGCCCACCAAGGCGACGAUCGGUAGCUGGUCUGAGAGGAUGAUCAGCCACACUGGAACUGAGACACGGUCCAGACUCCUACGGGAGGCAGCAGUGGGGGAAUAUUGGACAAUGGGCGCAAGCCUGAUCCAGCCAUGCCGCGUGGGUGAAGAAGGCCUCGG